GAAUUCGCCCUUAGAGUUUGAUCCUGGCUCAGGACGAACGCUGGCGGCGCGCCUAACACAUGCAAGUCGAACGAGCGAGAGGAGGUUUACUUUCUCAAGCGAGUGGCGAACGGGUGAGUAACGCGUGAGGAACCUGCCUCAAAGAGGGGGACAACAGUUGGAAACGACUGCUAAUACCGCAUAAGCCCACGACCCGGCAUCGGGUAGAGGGAAAAGGAGCAAUCCGCUUUGAGAUGGCCUCGCGUCCGAUUAGCUAGUUGGUGAGGUAAUGGCCCACCAAGGCGACGAUCGGUAGCCGGACUGAGAGGUUGAACGGCCACAUUGGGACUGAGACACGGCCCAGACUCCUACGGGAGGCAGCAGUGGGGAAUAUUGCACAAUGGGGGAAACCCUGAUGCAGCGACGCCGCGUGGAGGAAGAAGGUCUUCGGAUUGUAAACUCCUGUUGUUGAGGAAGAUAAUGACGGUACUCAACAAGGAAGUGACGGCUAACUACGUGCCAGCAGCCGCGGUAAAACGUAGGUCACAAGCGUUGUCCGGAAUUACUGGGUGUAAAGGGAGCGCAGGCGGGAAGGCAAGUUGGAAGUGAAAUCCAUGGGCUCAACCCAUGAACUGCUUUCAAAACUGUUUUUCUUGAGUAGUGCAGAGGUAGGCGGAAUUCCCGGUGUAGCGGUGGAAUGCGUAGAUAUCGGGAGGAACACCAGUGGCGAAGGCGGCCUACUGGGCACCAACUGACGCUGAGGCUCGAAAGUGUGGGUAGCAAACAGGAUUAGAUACCCUGGUAGUCCACACUGUAAACGAUGAUU
rnacentral:rRNA from 1 species